GAUGAGCAAAAAUGUUGUAAUUGGUUAUAGACUGGUAUGUCCCCUACCAUUGGCAUGUUGGAUGAGCAAAAAUGUUGUUAUUGGUUAGAGACUGGUAUGUCCCCUACCAUUGGCAUGUUGAAUAAGCAAAAAUGUUGUUAUUGGUUAGAGACUGGUAUGUCCCCUACCAUUGGCAUGUUGGAUGAGAAAAAAUGUUGUUAAUGGUUAGAGACUGGUAUGUCCCGUACCAAAAACAUGUUGAAUGAGCAAAAAUGGUGUUAUUGGUUAGAGACUGGUAUGUCCCCUACCAUUGGUUUGUUGGAUGAGCAAAAAUAGUGUUAUUGG
rnacentral:lncRNA from 1 species